rnacentral:rRNA from 1 species
GCUGGCGGCAGGCUUAACACAUGCAAGUCGAGCGGGCGUAGCAAUACGUCAGCGGCAGACGGGUGAGUAACGCGUGGGAACGUACCUUUUGGUUCGGAACAACACAGGGAAACUUGUGCUAAUACCGGAUAAGCCCUUACGGGGAAAGAUUUAUCGCCGAAAGAUCGGCCCGCGUCUGAUUAGCUAGUUGGUGAGGUAAUGGCUCACCAAGGCGACGAUCAGUAGCUGGUCUGAGAGGAUGAUCAGCCACAUUGGGACUGAGACACGGCCCAAACUCCUACGGGAGGCAGCAGUGGGGAAUAUUGGACAAUGGGCGCAAGCCUGAUCCAGCCAUGCCGCGUGAGUGAUGAAGGCCCUAGGGUUGUAAAGCUCUUUUGUGCGGGAAGAUAAUGACGGUACCGCAAGAAUAAGCCCCGGCUAACUUCGUGCCAGCAGCCGCGGUAAUACGAAGGGGGCUAGCGUUGCUCGGAAUCACUGGGCGUAAAGGGUGCGUA